rnacentral:tRNA from 3 species
GCCCGGGUGCUGGAACUGGAAUACAGGAUCGGCUCAAAACCGAUUGCCCGUGAGGGAUUGUGGGUUCGAAUCCCACCCCGGGUA